UGUUUGUGUAUAAAGGAGAGUUGCUGAAGUUUGCUUAAAUUUGAUUCCUAGCCAUGCAGUGGUUAUUUUGCCUCUUUGGCUUUAACUUCAGACUUUCCCUCCCCUUUCGCUCCCUCCCUCUCUUUCAUUCUCUGAUGUGGCUAGGUCCCUUUGGGACCCUGGCCUAAUGUAGCCGAGGCUGGCUAGCCUGCUCUCCCCAUGUUGUGCUGUCCCUAGCCUUUAACCUAGCCUAGUGUAACAGAUGUGAAACGCUAGCUUAGUUAGCGGUGGUGCGUGCUAAAUAGUGUUUCAAUCGGUGACGUCACUUGCUCUGAGACCUUGAAGUAGUAGUUCCCCUUGCUCUGCAAGGGCCGCAGCUUUUGUGGAGCGAUGGGUAAUGAUGCUUCGGUGGGUGACUGUUGUUGAUGUGUGCAGAGGGUCCCUGGUUUGCGCCCGGGUAUGGGCGAGGGGACGGUCUAAAGUUAUACUGUUACACUAGCAUAGUUUAACCACAUAGGGGGGGGUAUGUUAUGUUCGGCUUCGUGGACUCUUCCUGGAAGUGGACACCUCAACCCGAGGAGGAACAGCACCAGACCACAUUCUGUUCGAGGAAACCCCACGUGUAUGAGUCGUAUCAGAAACAAAGAUAACCAUUUUCCCUAAUUUGUAGUUUCUCAAAGAUAUCACCUUGAGAGAUCGCUGCCAGAAGCAGUGUCUUGUCUAUGGACUAGCAUGAGGGAUGGAUUGUAAGUCGCUCUGGAUAAGAGCGUCUGCUAAAUGACUUAAAUGUAAAUGGAAAUGGAUAGAACCGUUGGAGGUUGAAGUUGGAAGUGUUUUAGUCUAUGGACUAGCAUGAGGGAUGGAUAGAACCGUUGGAGGUUGAAGUUGGAAGUGUUUUAGUCUAUGGACUAGCAUGAGGGAUGGAUAGAACCGUUGGGGGUUGAAGUUGGAAGUGUUUUAGUCUAUGGACUAGCAUGAGGGAUGGAUAGAACCGUUGGGGGUUGAAGUUGGAAGUGUUUUAGUCUAUGGACUAGCAUGAGGGAUGGAUAGAACCGUUGGAGGUUGAAGUUGGAAGUGUUUUAGUCUAUGGACUAGCAUGAGGGAUGGAUAGAACCGUUGGAGGUUGAAGUUGGAAGUGUUUUAGUCUAUGGACUAGCAUGAGGGAUGGAUAGAACCGUUGGAGGUUGAAGUUGGAAGUGUUUUAGUCUAUGGACUAGCAUGAGGGAUGGAUAGAACCGUUGGAGGUUGAAGUUGGAAGUGUUUUAGUCUAUGGACUAGCAUGAGGGAUGGAUAGAACCGUUGGAGGUUGAAGUUGGAAGUGUUUUAGUCUAUGGACUAGCAUGAGGGAUGGAUAGAACCAUUGGAGGUUGAAGUUGGAAGUGUUUUAGUCUAUGGACUAGCAUGAGGGAUGGAUAGAACCGUUGGAGGUUGAAGUUGGAAGUGUUUUAGUCUAUGGACUAGCAUGAGGGAUGGAUAGAACCGUUGGAGGUUGAAGUUGGAAGUGUUUUAGUCUAUGGACUAGCAUGAGGGAUGGAUAGAACCGUUGGAGGUUGAAGUUGGAAGUGUUUUAGUCUAUGGACUAGCAUGAGGGAUGGAUAGAACCGUUGGAGGUUGAAGUUGGAAGUGUUUUAGUCUAUGGCCUAUCAUGAGGGAUGGAUAGAACCGUUGGGGGUGUUUUAGUUUAGUUGUGGAAUAGGGCUGGUUCUGUUCUCGCAGUAGGGAGACAUGUACAGACAGGUUCUUAAUGGCAUUGAUAGAUCACAGUGCUUGUGUGAAGGUGGUACAGACAGGUUCCUAAUGGCAUUGAUAGAUCACAGUGUUUGUGUGAAGGUGGUACAGACAGGUUCCUAAUGGCAUUGAUAGAUGACAGUGCUUGUGUGAAGGUGGUACAGACAGGUUCCUAAUGGCAUUGAUAGAUGACAGUGUUUGUGUGAAGGUGGUACAGACAGGUUCCUAAUGGCAUUGAUAGAUCACAGUGUUUGUGUGAAGGUGGUACAGACAGGUUCCUAAUGGCAUUGAUAGAUCACAGUGUUUGUGUGAAGGUGGUACAGACAGGUUCCUAAUGGCAUUGAUAGAUGACAGUGUUUGUGUGAAGGUGGUACAGACAGGUUCCUAAUGGCAUUGAUAGAUCACAGUGUUUGUGUGAAGGUGGUACAGACAGGUUCCUAAUGGCAUUGAUAGAUCACAGUGUUUGUGUGAAGGUGGUACAGACAGGUUCCUAAUGGCAUUGAUAGAUGACAGUGUUUGUGUGAAGGUGGUACAGACAGGUUCCUAAUGGCAUUGAUAGAUGACAGUGUUUGUGUGAAGGUGGUACAGACAGGUUCCUAAUGGCAUUGAUAGAUGACAGUGUUUGUGUGAAGGUGGUACAGACAGGUUCCUAAUGGCAUUGAUAGAUGACAGUGUUUGUGUGAAGGUGGUACAGACAGGUUCAUAAUGGCAUUGAUAGAUCACAGUGUUUGUGUGAAGGUGGUACAGACAGGUUCCUAAUGGCAUUGAUAGAUGACAGUGUUUGUGUGAAGGUGGUACAGACAGGUUCUUAAUGGCAUUGAUAGAUCACAGUGUUUGUGUGAAGGUGGUACAGACAGGUUCAUAAUGGCAUUGAUAGAUCACAGUGUUUGUGUGAAGGUGGUACAGACAGGUUCCUAAUGGCAUUGAUAGAUCACAGUGUUUGUGUGAAGGUGGUACAGACAGGUUCUUAAUGGCAUUGAUAGAUCACAGUGUUUGUGUGAAGGUGGUACAGACAGGUUCCUAAUGGCAUUGAUAGAUGACAGUGUUUGUGUGAAGGUGGUACAGACAGGUUCCUAAUGGCAUUGAUAGAUCACAGUGUUUGUGUGAAGGUGGUACAGACAGGUUCCUAAUGGCAUUGAUAGAUCACAGUGUUUGUGUGAAGGUGGUACAGACAGGUUCCUAAUGGCAUUGAUAGAUGACAGUGUUUGUGUGAAGGUGGUACAGACAGGUUCCUAAUGGCAUUGAUAGAUGACAGUGUUUGUGUGAAGGUGGUACAGACAGGUUCCUAAUGGCAUUGAUAGAUCACAGUGUUUGUGUGAAGGUGGUACAGACAGGUUCCUAAUGGCAUUGAUAGCUGACAGUGUUUGUGUGAAGGUGGUACAGACAGGUUCCUAAUGGCAUUGAUAGCUGACAGUGUUUGUGUGAAGGUGGUACAGACAGGUUCCUAAUGGCAUUGAUAGAUGACAGUGUUUGUGUGAAGGUGGUACAGACAGGUUCCUAAUGGCAUUGAUAGAUGACAGUGUUUGUGUGAAGGUGGUACAGACAGGUUCCUAAUGGCAUUGAUAGAUCACAGUGUUUGUGUGAAGGUGGUACAGACAGGUUCCUA